rnacentral:rRNA from 1 species
UACGUAGGGGGCAAGCGUUGUCCGGAAUUAUUGGGCGUAAAGCGCGCGCAGGCGGUUUUGUAAGUUGGGUGUUUAAGCUCGGGGCUCAACCCCGAUACGCAUCCAAAACUGCAAGGCUUGAGUGCAGAAGAGGAAAGUGGAAUUCCACGUGUAGCGGUGAAAUGCGUAGAGAUGUGGAGGAACACCAGUGGCGAAGGCGACUUUCUGGGCUGUAACUGACGCUGAGGCGCGAAAGCGUGGGGAGCAAACAGG